UUUAGCCCUGUUUAACAGCUUAUUGCAAAAAAAGCCAAAAGUAAAAGUAAGAGCAGCUUCGCCAGCAGACAUGGAGUUAAAAAGGGAGUCCCAGAAACAGCAACAGAAGCCAGUUUUGCAGGAGCUGCCAGAGAUAAUAGAAAUUCUUUCUCCAUAUGUCCCAGCCUAUCCCCCUUUACCGAGGCCAACAGCCCCCUCAGAAAUGAGAUUCAGGAGCUAACAUGCCCCAGGUCUCACCUCAAAGGGGAGGAUCGGAGCCUCGAGAGGCCGAGGAAGGAAGUCAAGAUAGUCAAGUGGGC
rnacentral:lncRNA from 10 species